rnacentral:rRNA from 1 species
CAAUAGCGUAUAUUAAAGUUGUUGCAGUUAAAAGCUCGUAGUUGGACCUCUGGGAGGGACCCAAUGUCCGCCGUGUGCGUGCGCAGCGGGGCCCUUCCAUCCUUCUGUUAACGUUUCUCGGUAUUCGCUUACUGGUUUCGGGCUCAGAUAUUUUACCUUGAGAAAAUUAGAGUGUUUCAGGCAGGCUUGCGCCGGAAUACAUUAGCAUGGAAUAAUAGAAUAGGACUUUUGUCUCCUUUGUUGGUUUGAGGGACCGAAGUAAUGAUUAAUAGGGACAGUUGGGGGCAUUAGUAUUUAAUUGUCAGAGGUGAAAUUCUUGGAUUUACGAAAGACGAACAACUGCGAAAGCACUUGCCAAGAGUGUUUUCAUUAAUCAAGAACGAAAGUUAGAGGAUCGAAGAUGAUUAGAUACCAU